GGGGAUGUAGAUCAGUGGUAGAGCAUGUACUUAGCAUGUGCAAGGCUCUAGGUUCCAUCCCUAGCACCAGCA
rfam:Ictidomys tridecemlineatus contig019960, whole genome shotgun sequence.